rnacentral:rRNA from 1 species
UGGGGAAUAUUGGGCAAUGGGGGCAACCCUGACCCAGCAACGCCGCGUGAAGGAAGAAGGUCUUCGGAUUGUAAACUUCUGUCCUUGGGGACGAAACAAAUGACGGUACCCGAGGAGGAAGCCCCGGCUAACUACGUGCCAGCAGCCGCGGUAAUACGUAGGGGGCAAGCGUUGUCCGGAAUUACUGGGCGUAAAGGGAGCGCAGGCGGUCUGUUAAGUGAGAUGUGAAAUACCCGGGCUUAACCUGGGGGGUGCAUCCCAAACUGGCAGACUUGAGUGUGGGAGAGGAAAGUGGAAUUCCUAGUGUAGCGGUGAAAUGCGUAGAUAUUAGGAGGAACACCAGUGGCGAAGGCGGCUUUCUGGACCACAACUGACGCUGAGGCUCGAAAGCGUGGGGAGCAAACAGG